AACGAACGCUGGCGGCAGGCUUAACACAUGCAAGUCGAGCGCCCCGCAAGGGGAGCGGCAGACGGGUGAGUAACGCGUGGGAAUCUACCCAUCUCUACGGAAUAACGCAUGGAAACGUGUGCUAAUACCGUACACGUCCUUCGGGAGAAAGAUUUAUCGGAGAUGGAUGAGCCCGCGUUGGAUUAGCCAGUUGGUGGGGUAAAGGCCUACCAAGGCGACGAUCCAUAGCUGGUCUGAGAGGAUGAUCAGCCACACUGGGACUGAGACACGGCCCAGACUCCUACGGGAGGCAGCAGUGGGGAAUAUUGGACAAUGGGCGCAAGCCUGAUCCAGCCAUGCCGCGUGAGUGAUGAAGGCCCUAGGGUUGUAAAGCUCUUUCACCGGUGAAGAUAAUGACGGUAACCGGAGAAGAAGCCCCGGCUAACUUCGUGCCAGCCGCCGCCGUAAGAC
rnacentral:rRNA from 1 species